GGUGGAUGGACAGGUUACUGGAGAGGUGCCAGUUCACCUCAUAGGUGCCCUUAAGGUUGGCGACUUGUCCAGGGUGUACCCUUCCUUCCGCCCAGUCAGGGGUUUAAGAUAUUACCUCAUCACUCCUCAAUUGCUGCAUGUAAAACAAAUCUGUGUGGAGUGAUGAGGUUCUGAGCCUGGAUGACCACAAACAAUGUCAGCUGCAGCAACUAAGUUUUAACUAAUAAAACACAAGUUGUCUGACUGAUA